CCGCCGGCCUCCCUCAUGUGACGCGGUAACAGCUGCGGCCUGAGUCACUGGGCCCGGCGCGGGGUGGGCCGAGCCCCCCGCCCGGCCAGGGCCACGUGGCCCCUACCCGGAAGAAGGCGCCCACCCCCGCAAAGGGAAAGCCGCAAGGGCAAGACCUCGGGGCGCCUGGGGCCCCCCUCUGGCGCUAUACCUCCGUGCCAACUCGGGGUAGGAGAGCGGGGCGGAGCGCAGCCUGGGUCACUCUGGUUCAGAGAAGCGGACGAGGUGGGUGAGAGUUACCCUCUGAGCGCCGGGGCGGAGAGCUGAGGCCGGGUGACAAUGUGGUCUGUGAGGUUUCCCCAUCCUACCGUAGGGGAUGAGCCAGCUCUCUCCUCUGGCUCCAACUCUGUGCAAGCCCCCUCCCCAUCCGACUGUGCAGACAGCUGGGGACUGCCUGGGGUCGGGUGGGGCCAGAACAAACACUUCCAGAAAGUCCCUGGCUCACAUCCUGGGUGUCUCCCAACAUUCUACAGCAUUCUAGAGUGGGGAUUUCUGGCCCCCCUCUAUUAGCACAGCUUCUCCAUUUUCCAGGGAUCCUAGUCUGAGAAAAGGGGAGGAAGCCCUUCCCCGAAGCCACGCUACCCAGUCAAUCAAGACACGUCCGCGUCGGGUCCCGCCCUCUGGGGGAGGAUUGACAAGGUCUGUGCUUCCAGCCUCCCAGACAGCUCCUGCAUCCGUCUGUGAUAGCGAGGGCUUGGGGGAAGACACGAAGGCAGGAGAGGCUUACAUCCUCUGGAUUUCCCCGUCUUAUCCCAGAAGACAAAGCCAGGUGAGGGCUGGAAGCGGGCUAGGGGGAUCAAGCUGCCUCCCUCCCUUGUGUGCCAGGGGUGGUCCCCAGAAGGAGCUGAUCUGAACAGGCCGGAGAGUAGGACCGGCCGUCACACCCCCACACCUCCAGCCUCGGCCCCACUCCUUGGGCUCUUAAGGUCCUGCCUCAAGAACCACUUCCUGAGUCUUAGUGUAUGUGUGUACACAAAGAAUGAAAGAAGUCUCUAGAGCUAAAGGAAGGAGAUCCGGGCUGGGCUGAGAAGCAUCUUCCAGGAUCACGGCCUUCCCGCGGGACACACCAAGCCCAUUCCGGAUCUUGCUCUUCCUGACCAUGGCUGGCAGGCUGUGGAGGAGGAGCGGAGAGCAGAAGAAAGGAGUAUUCAUCAGGUUCCUUAUUGUGCUGCCACUAGAUGCCAGGCAUGUGCUAGGCUUGGGGGCUGCAAGGAGAGGAAGACAGCGGCCCUGCCCUCUGCUAGCAGGCAGAACCGAGUUCUGGCCACACUGUGAAGAAAGGCAGAAGCCUGCGGUGGCAGCUGGUUAAGCUCAGAGGGAGGGAAAGGGAGAGGAGAAUGGAUUUCACGGAGCAGAAGGAUGUGCUCAAGGUGACCUUGGAGAAUAAAGGGGAGAGCUCCAGGGACAGAGAAGCAGUCGACUGUGGAAAAAAAAGGAGCAUUUUGUAAAGUACAUGGCAGGUUGGGGUUGGCUGGCUCAAAGGGCUUGGGACGGAUGUGGUGAGAUGGGCUGAAGGUGGUCUGAAGAUCAAGAUUGAGAGACUAGAUACAUAACAACCAACUGCAAUGUUUGGUCCUUCAUUGAAUGGUUGAACAAACCAGCUGUGAAAGACAUUUUGGGACAUACAGACAUGGACUGAGAAUUAGACAUAAGAAAAUUAUUUUGUUAACUGUUAUCAUGGUUAACAAAACGGUCAUAUAAUAUGAUUAUGUAGAGAAGUUACUCUAGUUUUUCCUCUUUUUUUUUCUUUAUUCUCCUAUCAGCCAAUGCAUUUGUUACAGGAAAGGGGUCCCAAUCCAGACCACAAGAGAGGGUUCUUGGAUCUCAUGCAAGAAAGAUUCAGGGCGAGUCGCAGUGCAAAGUAUAAGCAAGUUUAUUAAGAAAGUAAAGUGGUGAAACAACAGCUGCUCCAUAGACAGAGUAGGAUGUUCCCCAAAGUAAGAGGAGG
rnacentral:lncRNA from 1 species